GGUUCUCUAGCUCAACGGCAGAGCGGCACUUUGUUAAGGUGUUGGUUGUAGGUUCGAAUCCUACGGGAACCG
rnacentral:tRNA from 1 species